AUUGUACAACACAUCCGUACAAAGCUUGGCCAGUAUGACUUGUGUAAAAUAUAUCCUAAUUUGUACGUUAUACAUUCAACUUUUCAGAUACGGGGCAUGCAUACCCUCAUACGUGAUUCACAAACAACGAAGCAUGAUUUUGUAUUUUAUGCUGAUCGGUUGAUUCGUUUGGUCGUUGAGCAUGGUCUGGGACAUCUGCCAUUUACAGAAAAACAAGUGGUCACUCCAACUG